rnacentral:lncRNA from 1 species
AGACCACCUGCCCUCAAAAGAUUUGUUUUCUAGAGAAACAAAGCAAAAUCUAGGUGCUGCAAGAAAAGUCACAGCCUUGGGGUUUCAGUGAAGAGACAGCCCAAAUGCUCUUGAAGUAGUCAGAAAAGUCUACAGGGUGUGACUCCCUUAUGCCGCUCUCUCCUGCCAUUUGGGCAACAGCCAACUUCCGAGGCCAACCUUGUUUCUGGAGAAGCAUUCUUCCCACAUGGGAAAGGCAAGGAUGGUGCUGAGCCUGGUCUGCCUCUGUGUUCCCUGGACAACUCCAUUCCAGUGCAAGAUUCUCAUGGUUGAAUUCAUGAUUUUAAGUGCUGUUUGUGGGGUUUUGAGCAGUUGCCAUUCUGAGGAGGAGCAGAGGAGCAUGGCUUUGCCAAAGGUGUCUCCCAAUUAUGAGCACCAUCUGCAAGAGUCCACUUGGAAAAUACUCAAGGAGUGGGCUUCUAUGACUUCUGCCUUGCCCUGGAGGUCCAAUACAGGU